UGGGGCAGUUCAUUCCAUGAUUCAGUACAGAGGUAGAGCAUCAGCCACUGUUCUUGUUCAGCAAUGACUAAAGCCCGCUGGAUGGCUUUCACCUCUGCAAACUGACUUGAUUCAACUUCUCCUUCAGCAGCUUCUGUGACUCCUCGUGUAGGACUCCACACAGCAGCCUUCCACCUCCGAUGUUUUUGCACAGUGCGACAGGACCCCUCAAUGAACAGGGCACAUUGCUUCUCAUUUUCUGGCAGUUUACUACAUGGUGGGGCCUCUACAGCAUGUGUUACAUCUUCCUCUGCAAUAUUCCAAAAUCUUUGCCUUCUGACCAGACCAUGAUCACUUCCAGAAUUCCUGGGUGACUGGGUGUAAAGCUCUGAUAACAAGGGAAUGUCACAAACAUCCAUCUUGACCCAAGCAGGGAUAAACUGAUAAUGAGGGAAUGUGGCAGACAUCUGUCUCUACCAAGGACAGAACCUGCAGAGGCAGGAUACCUUCCUGUGAGCCCCUUCCCCUAUUCCUGAAACAUGUGGACAAAAGACCAUCUGUCUCCACACGUGCCAUCACUCGGUCGACCCCGAAUUGGGGCGGGACAGUGAGACCCCCAAGACCCCCACAACCCACCAACUCAUUUCUGGAACAUUCCUGAGCACGUCCUGUGCCUGCUUAGUGAUGACAGACCUCUGCCUAUGGAAAAGGGACAUUGGGUUAUAGAAAGGGGAAAGACAUGUUUUUGGUGCAUGCCCACCACCUUAGGUCUACCACUAUGAGCAGAGAACAUCGCUGGAUCCAAGGGUCUAACUACUGGAAACAUCCUCCACCUCAGAAAGCUGAAGCUGGUGCUACUUUUGGGAAUUUGUACUCGUAAUCUGUGUGAUACAGAGAGGUAACAUAGCCAAACCACGAUUGUGAAUUCUGCUCAACACCGGCAAUUGUGGAUCUGGUCCUAUGUUCUUUGUCUCUCCCGAUGCGCUAUAGGAACCACAAGCCAAAGUACCCCAAAUGUGGCUUGGGAAUUAGUUCAAGGUUUUGUUAGGAUGUGGGGUUACCAAAAUAAAGGUCUGUGUAUUUAAAGAUUUUUAUGUCCCCUGUAAGUCUGUCGUUUAUCUUUAUUAUGACUAAUGCCACCUCUGGAACACUCCUGUCAAAAAAUUGGACCAUCAAGAAUAACUGAGUGUAUUUUUGGCUACAGCCAAUGAUAAGAUGCAAUAUAUAUAGCGUCUGGAGUGAACCUCCAAAAUGAGCCAAAGAUGCGAAGUUAUCCUCAACAGUGGCGUGUAAAGUUACCAGACCACCGGUUAAAGUCUCUAUCCCUUCUCCGAUAGGUGGAUCAAACCCCUUAUUUACCAGCACCAAAGGGAACAUACCUGCUGCAAAUGUCACUUUUGACAAAUACACCAGGGAAUACUCCUGUCGUUAUUAUCCAUGGGAUCCUCUGUUUGAUCCAUUGGCAAAACCUGAUUUCUAUGAAGCAAACUAUUCUACUCAAUGGAACCCAGAAUGGUGUAUCCUACUCCCGAAUAAGACCCAUGUAACCUCUUGAGAUAGAAACAAUUUGAUGUGGGCUUGGUCAGGGAACAAAGUGCGACAAGUUUUUAUAGAGCCCAAAUCUGAUCCACCUGUCAGGGAAGCUGAAAACCCCCUUUUUAAUUGUUCUGAGACAAUCACUUGUGAUUCAGGACCAGGAGAUCCUCCUGAAACUUGGUUUAUUGAUAGUCUCAGAACUCUAACCUGAGAUAUGUGCACAUGCUGGGGAUAUCCUUCAAAGGGAUGGCAAAAUAGUGAUAAAACUUGUAACCUCACUCUUCCCAGUAGUCACAAUUUUAUUAAACAGGAAUGGUGUGGAAUACCCUUCACUCAUUAUCCCCUACAAGGGACACCCUUAAACACCAAGCCUAUUAUAUAUGCUGUGAAUUAUAUGGAUCAAUAUACCUGUAAAACUAGCAUAUAUCCGGCCCCGUUGGGGUUAGCAUGGGGAUGCUCCAAUGGAAAAUUUUACUCUUACUUAACAUUGGAAUAUCAUGCUGGCCUGAGGUGUGGAUUAGCUAUCCCUUCUUUGUGUCCCUCUCGUGUUUUCAAUUUUACAGUACUUUCCCAGCGAUCGCGUAGAGAGGUGGGAAGUAAUCCAAAGGCUCGCCCCAACUGGGCCAUUAAUGGAGUCGAAACUCCCAAUUAUUAUACUGCUGGACAACUAACUGUGUUAAUGUUUGACAAUAUUUUUACCCCUUAUGUAACCUUAAAAAUUACACCAAUUGCUCCUGGAAAAUAUUACCUGGCAGCUGCAUCUUUUAAGUAACUGGACACGAUAUGAUUUUGGAGAAUUAAAUUUACAGGUCCAACAGGUAUCGAGGAUGACCCUUCAGAAUCGUCUAGCCCUGGAUAUGAUAGUGCUUAAACAACAAGGAGUUUGUGGGAUGUUAAAUCUGACCGAUGGAGAAUGCUGCAUCACCAUACACAAUGCUACUGCCUCAAGAGAGGAAGCUCGAACAAGAAUGAAGGAGGUAACAGACCAGAUGGCGGAACUCUUUCAAUCCAUGCAACCGAAAGACUCGUUUGAUGGCGAGACCCCAAACUCUUGGUUACAAUCCAUCCUACGAUCCAUGGGACUCAGGGGAUGGGGUCAUGGUUAAUGAAAAUAGGACUAACAUUAGUUGUCGGUUUCAUAUUAUUAAUGAUUGGCAUAGCUAUUGUUCGCUGUAUGAUUACCCAUGCCAUCUCUUCCUUCUCUUCUCACCUUUCUCCUUCUGUUCACUAUGUGAGAAUCACCACCCUAGAAGAUGAUCUCCAAGAAGUAGUCAAGACAUUUGUUUGAGCCACGGGGUGGUGUAAGGCCCUCAUAACAAGGGAAUGUCGCAAACAUCCAUCUUGACCCAAGCAGGGAUAAAGUGAUAACGAGGGAAUGUGGCAGACAUCUGUCUUGACCAAGGACAGAACCUGCGGAGGCAGGAUACCUUCUUGUGAGCCCCUUCCCCUAUUCCUGAAACAUGUAGACAAAAGACCAUCUGUGUCCUGUGCAUGCAUGCCUGUGAAGGGCCAUCACCCAGUUAAUCCCGAAGGGGGCAAGGGGGGGGACAACACACAGUGAGACCCCCAAGACCCCCACAACCCACCAACUCAUUUCUGGAACAUUCCUGAGCACAUCCUGUGCCUGCUCAGUGAUGACAGACCCCCACCUAUGCAGAGCAUUUUGGGUUAUAGAAAGGGGAAAAACAAGUUUUUGGCGCUCACCCACCACCUGAGGACUACAGCUACAGGCAGAGAACACCGCUGGAUCCGACAGUGGUGAUAUCUUUUCUCUCUCUUUCUCUUUCUCUCUUUUUCAUUUCCUCUCCAUCACUCUCUUUGUCUCUAACUUCAUUUUUGGCACAUUAAGUUAAUGUCACAAGUUUUGCUAAGCCAUUACCUUUUGUAGGUCUGCUAAGUUUUAGGUGUUGUUUUAACUUUGGCCUUCCCACUAUCUGUUGUAGUUCUGAGUUUUAAGUAACUUUGUGAUUUGUU